GACCUCGGAUCACCUGAACCGUGUGAAUGAAUGAAGUCCUCCAACAUCCCUGGGAGGGAGAAAACAGCCUCAGGACCCCAAUCGUCCAGCAGGCCUAGAGCCUCAGGGUCGUUAGCCAGGGGCUGCUCUAGCUAUAUGCAAACUAGGCAGCUGCCUACGAUGUCCGAUUCUGCCUAGGCUGGGCCAAGCCUGAGCGCUUGUAGAUGAAAUCGUGUCGUUGUCAAGAGGAAGUGAUGCCUGCCUGCCUGCCUGCUAGGCAUGUGUAUGGAUAGACCCAGACGUACAGACGCAAGGCUGCAGCGUGCAGGGUCCCAUAAGCGACCUGCAGCUCCUUUCAUAAACGCUGCAGAGAGCUGAGCCCAACCAAAGCGUCUGGGUGUCGUCUUCUGGAUGGACCUGCCAGAAAGCAGAGCGGUGCAAAUGUUCUCGUGUAAGACCCUGACUGCCGAAAUCUUAAAACCAGUUGCACACUUCCCAGGCAAUCCUGGGCCUGUGAAAUGUGAUCACCGUUAGGUUUAGCUGGUGACCAGAUUUAUUUGCCUGGCGGAAAAAAUAAGUGCGAGCAGGAUGGAUCCAAAGAAUUGGUUGCAACGGAUUGACUCCAGAAACCACCCUGGGCCUGUUGUAGUUUUGUUAAUCUAGUCAUGUUAAUCCAGACACUAAUCACAUGACCCGUGGUUGACCAUCUGUUGUCCUGGGUGAUGCUUAGCUUUGAUUUGG
rnacentral:lncRNA from 1 species